rnacentral:rRNA from 1 species
UACGUAGGGGGCAAGCGUUGUCCGGAAUCAUUGGGCGUAAAGCGCGUGUAGGCGGCUUGGUAAGUCCGCUCUGAAAGCCCGGGGCUCAACCCCGGGAGGCGGGUGGAUACUGUCAAGCUCGAGUCCGGAAGAGGCGAGUGGAAUUCCUGGUGUAGCGGUGAAAUGCGCAGAUAUCAGGAGGAACACCAAUGGCGAAGGCAGCUCGCUGGGACGUGACUGACGCUGAGACGCGAAAGCGUGGGGAGUAAACAGG